rnacentral:rRNA from 1 species
UGCAUAUCAAAAAAGCGGAGGAAAAGAAACCAACAGGGAUUGCCUCAGUAACGGCGAGUGAAGCGGCAAGAGCUCAAAUUUGAAAUCUGGCCCCUUCGGGGUCCGAGUUGUAAUUUGUAGAGGAUGCUUCGGGUGCGGCCCCCGUCUAAGUGCUCUGGAACGGGCCAUCGGAGAGGGUGAGAAUCCCGUCUGGGACGGGGUGUCCGCGUCCAUGUGAAGCUCCUUCGACGAGUCGAGUUGUUUGGGAAUGCAGCUCUAAAUGGGUGGUAAAUUUCAUCUAAAGCUAAAUACUGGCCGGAGACCGAUAGCGCACAAGUAGAGUGAUCGAAAGAUGAAAAGCACUUUGAAAAGAGAGUUAAACAGCACGUGAAAUUGUUGAAAGGGAAGCGCUUGCGACCAGACUCGCUUCCGGGGUUCAGCCGGCUUUCGGGCCGGUGUACUUCCCCGGGGGCGGGCCAGCGUCGGUUUGGGCGGCCGGUCAAAGGCCCCUGGAAUGUAACGCCCCUCGGGGCGCCUUAUAGCCAGGGGUGUCAUGCGGCCAGCCUGGACCGAGGAACGCGCUUCGGCACGGACGCUGGCAUAAUGGUCGUAAACGACCCGUCUUGAACCACGGACCA